GCGUGCGUGCGUGUGCGUGUGGUGUGUGUGUGUGUGUGUGCAGAGCUGCUGGGUGAGGGAGGGUUUGUGUGUUGCUGCUGUCAUCUGACACUGAUCUGUUGGCUCUCAUCUGUUCUGCUCGGUGCAGGUACAGUAGGCUCCAGGACAGAGGGCUUCUGUUCACCACCAGGGUUUAAUAGAGCAGUGAAAGCACAGAGACGGUCCCCGGUGCUGCUGACAACAGAACAGGGUCCAUGUCAGUCACUCCAAAAAGGAUCCAGAGCCUCCUGCCCGCUCUUCACCAGCUGUGCAUCACGCACACACCACCAGUCUGGCAGCGAAGGGUGAGACAUGAGGACGAGCACGGCGGCUGCACGGGGGGCUACUUCACGCAGCAGCACCCGCUCAGGUCACAGCUCACGCUGCCUGGAGAGCGGCGAGGGCUGCCCCUCGUCUGCAGCCUCGCCCAGAGCCACAGGGACAUAAAGGCCUGACAGGUGUCAAACGCCAAGCGGUGGCGAAGGAUCAGCGACACCUCAGAGGAUCAGUCACAGCACAGAGCGGCCUCUGGUCCUGUUCAGCUUCUCUAUAACAAACCUCAACCCUUCUCAGGUGACUGAAUGUGUUAAUAUGUCACUGUUCACUAAGAGACCACCAACUCCAACAAACUUCCCCAAAGCACAACACUUUAUUGAUGCUUGUACACGCCUUCAUCAUCACAUCAUUGGUGCACUUGUUAACGUGCUGAAACACACAAUUAGGCAUAGCAAUACUCCUCCAAAACCUCUUGUGGUUUUGAACACCUACGCCUGAAUAGGAGCACAAAGCAAAUGUGAUAAAAUUGUUCUUCGUAUAUGACAAUACUUGUAAGUGUCAUGAUCUGGGUGUUUGUUUCUUGUUUUAUUUUGAAGGACUUUUGUGUUUCACCUUAGUUGUCAGGUUUAGUUUUGGUUUCCUGUUUUAUUUUGUAAGUACUUCCGUUUCUGGUCAUACCACAUCAGUUUCAGCUUUACUCCCGGUCCUCAUUACACACACCUGUUUCAGAUCAGUAAUCAGCCACCUGUACUUAAGCACCACCUUUAACCAUGUUACCUUGCCAGAUUGUCGUUUGUGAAUACCAGUCGCCACCUUCCAGCAAUUGUCUCCGUCCUGAUUACCUUGUUACCUGAUUACCUUUUGUUGAUUCUGUUUUCCUGACCACUGACUCCUGCCUACUCCCUGCCGGUACCGUAAUCUUGUUGAUUCUGUUAACGAACCAUUGCCUGCUCCUGGACCCGACCCCGCCUGCUCCCCUGUACCUGCAAUACUGAGAUUCUCUGUGAACGACCUGGACCGCCUUGUACCACGAUAUCUGGAUUAAACUUCGUUUAUUAUCACCAAUCCGUCUCCUCGCACUGCGCAUGUGGGUCCGCUCUCUGCCGCAUCCUGACAGUAAGCAUGUGGUUAGAAGUCUGUGCAACUGUCAAUGUGGUUAUACAGUAAGGCACAGCAAAUGCAAACCAUAAAUGGAAAAUGUAAAAAAAGUUAAAUGAUACAUAAAAAGAUAAAUGAAUAUAAAUGAAAUGAAUAUAAAUGAUUAUAUGGGUUAAAUGGUAUAUGUUAUUAUAUGUAAAAGAUAAUAAAUAAACAACAAAGAUAAAUGAGAUUAAUAAUAGAUUAAAAUAUAUUUUCUCCAA